GGCGGCGUAGCCGAGGGGUUCAGGCAACGGCCUGCAAAGCCGCGAACGUGGGUUCGAAUCCCGCCGCCGCCUCCG
rnacentral:tRNA from 1 species